rnacentral:rRNA from 1 species
UUAGCAGUGAGGAAUAUUGGUCAAUAGCCUAACGGCUGAACCAGCAAUUUGGAAGAAUGUUUAGCACCUUUAAACAGUAAGUGCGAAAUUGAUUAAAUCAAAUAAAAUUCUAGGUAGACUUAUGAUAAUGACAAAGCCUACCUAAGUCUUGACCAAAUUACGUGCCAGCAGUCGCGGUAAUACGUAAAAGACUAGUGUUAUUCAUCUUUAAUUGGUUUAAAGGGUACCUAGACAGUAAAUAAAGCCUUAGUGGGAACUAAUUUGCUAGAGUUACUUAUAAGGGGGUAUUAAAGUACUGCAGGUGUAGAGAUGAAAUUUUAUUAUACCUCUUUUCACAAGAAAAACUAUGGCACAGGUAUAGGUGAAAACAUCCCCUUAUGUGAUAACUGACGUUGAAGGACGAAGGCUUUGUAUCGCGAACAGGAUUAGAUACCCCAGUAGUCAAAGCAGAAAAUGAUGAAUGUCAUAGAUUAGAAAAAUAAUUUAUUCUAUAAACGAAAGUGUAAGCAUUCCACCUCAAGAGUAAUUUGGCAACAUUGGAACUGAAAUCAUUAGACCGUUUCUGAAACCAGUAGUGAAGUAUGUCGUUUAAUUUGAUACCACGCAAAAAACCUUACCACAAUUUGAAUAUAUAUACAUAUCUUUUAUUGAUUUAAGAUAGUAUAUUUACAAGCGUUGCACGGCUGUCUUCAGUUAAUGUCGUGAGAUUUUGGUUAGUUCCAUUAAAUUAACGUAAACCUUUACUUUAUUUUUAUAUAAAGUAGUUCUCCAUUAUAUUGGAUAUGAUAACAGGGACUAAGACAAGUCAUCAUGGCCUAAAUAUUGUGGGCUAUAGACGUGCCCCAUAA